rnacentral:lncRNA from 1 species
GAGUAUCACACAAGGUUCGCUGCAUCUCUUCCAAAAAAAAAAAAAAAUGUCUUCAUUCACUUCUUCUAAUGUUUCAGUUCCUAUAGGGACUCCCACUUCUUGUUCUUCUACAGGGCUUAUCUCCAUCAAUGCUGUCACGCUGAUCCCCUUUAAGUUAUCAAAGGGUGGCAACUAUGCGUCCUGGCGAGCUCAAUUCUCUAAUCUUUUAUUUGGAUAUGAUUUGUUAGGUUACAUUUAUGGCUCUUUCAGUUGUCCUCCGGCCAUGCUCAACAUCCCUGGCGAUCCCAGUCCAGUACCCAAUCCAGCUCACAAACU